rnacentral:rRNA from 1 species
CCUACGGGUGGCAGCAGUGAGGAAUAUUGGUCAAUGGGCGCGAGCCUGAACCAGCCAAGUAGCGUGAAGGAUGACUGCCCUACGGGUUGUAAACUUCUUUUAUAUGGGAAUAAAAUGUUCCACGUGUGGGAUUUUGUAUGUACCAUAUGAAUAAGGAUAGGCUAACUCCGUGCCAGCAGCCGCGGUAAUACGGAGGAUCCGAGCGUUAUCCGGAUUUAUUGGGUUUAAAGGGAGCGUAGGUGGGUUGUUAAGUCAGUUGUUAAAGUUUGGGGCUCAACCGUAAAAUUGCAGUUGAAACUGGCAGUCUUGAGUGCAGUAGAGGUAGGCGGAAUUCGUGGUGUAGCGGUGAAAUGCAUAGAUAUCACGCAGAACUCCGAUUGCGAAGGCAGCACACCGGCGCCCGACUGACGCUGAGGCACGAAAGCGUGGGGAUCGAACAGGAUUAGAUACCCUAGUAGUC